rnacentral:ncRNA from 10 species
UGCCAACAUCAAGAGAAGAGUAAAACUCUCGCCAACCUGCUGCUCCAGUAAGGUGGUACAAAAAGAUGAGGUCAUUCGACAAUGAUAGGAGUGUCA